rnacentral:rRNA from 1 species
GACGAACGCUGGCGGCGUGCUUAACACAUGCACGUCGAACGGAGUGGCGAACGGGUGAGUAACACGUGGGUGACCUGCCCUGCACUUCGGGAUAAGCCUGGGGAACAGGGUCUAAUAUCGGAGAGUGUGGGAUGGGCCCGCGGCCUAUCUGCUUGUUGGCGGGGUAAUGGCCUCCCGAGGCGGAGACGGGUAGCCGGUCUGCGAGAGUGGACGGCCACAUUUGGACUGAGACACGGCCCAGACUCCUACGGGAGGCAGCAGUGGGGAAUAUUGAACACUGGGCGGAAGCCUGAUGCUGCGACGCCGCGUGGGGGAUGACGGCCUUCGGGUUGUAAACUCCUUUAACCAUCGACGCGGUAGUGGCAGAAGAAGCACCGGCUAACUACGUGCCAGCAGCCGCGGUAAUUC